UACAGAGGGGGCAAGCGUUGUUCGGAAUUACUGGGCGUAAAGGGCGCGUAGGCGGUCUCGUAAGUCCUGUGUGAAAUCCCCCGGCUCAACUGGGGAAUUGCACGGGAAACUGCUUGGCUUGAGUUCGGGAGAGGGAAGCGGAAUUCCGGGUGUAGCGGUUGAAAUGCGGUAGAUAUCCGGAGGAACACCGGUGGCGGAAGGCAGGCC
rnacentral:rRNA from 1 species